GUUUGCUUUGGCAACACAUACACUAAAACUGGAACGAUCCAGAGAUUAGCACAGCUCUAGUGUAAGGACAGCAUACACACUCAAGAAGCAUUCCAUAAUUUC
ensembl:snRNA U6 U6 spliceosomal RNA